GAGCAGGCCAUGGAGAGCAAGCCCGUAAGCAGUGCCCCUCCAUGGCUUCUGCUUCAGUUCCUGCCUCCAGGUUCCUGCUU
rnacentral:miRNA from 1 species